CACCAGAGGGUGCAAUAAGACUUGC
rnacentral:tRNA from 1 species